CUAUAGCCAACAUGUAAUUCCACAGGGUUUUACAUGUGUCCUUGAUCAGAACCUAUUUCCAUGUUGUUCAUGUUUGCACUAGGAUGAUCAUUUAGAGCAGGGGUCCCCAAACUAUGGCCCACGGGCCACAUACAGCCCCCUGAGGUCAUUUAUCGCCCCCACCACACUUCCAGAAGGAGCACUUCUUUCAUUGGUGGUCAGUGAGAGGAGCACAGGAUGCAUGUGGUGAGCAGCAAUCUGGGGGAGGGAAUUCCUCACUGUGUAUACUGCUGCCCAGGGAUUUGUUCAUAGGGUUUUUUUAAUAGUCCAGCCCUCCAAAGGUCUGAGGGACAGUGAACUGGCCCCCUGUGUAAAAAGUUUGAGGACCCCUGAUUUAGAGUCUACAUCCCUAAUCUUAUCCCCCUUGACCCAUGUAAUCAAGCAGUUGUUUUCUUCGGUGUUUCUACUCCCACAGUUUUUCCUCUAUCUUUCUUGUAGAUCCCUCCAAGUUGUUCAGGAUCACUGCAUUGCCACUAAUGGAGAAGUCCAGAAUAAUUCCCUUUUCACAGAAUGCCUAAACAAAUUAUGUUCCUAGUCCUGACGUCUUUAUCAUGUCAUGUGAGUAUAAGUUACUCAUCCCCAUGGGAGCCAGUGACACAGCCACAGGCACCCCCAAUUCCUCAUCCCCAACGCCUCUCUCCUCUUCCCCAGGAGGAGUACCAAAGUGAACCAUCUGCUUGCCCCCAGUUCUUUUCUCCAGGCCAGAGCUAGAUUCUGCUGGGGAGAGCUGGACAGAAACAAGAAAUGAGCUAGAGAGGAGGAGAGGCAGACGAUGGGUCCCUGGAGAACGGCAGUCCCAUCACCAAGUGUCAUUCCAAAGCUGGUUCUUAGGGGAGGAGGCUUAGUGGAAUGCCUCAGUUUCCCCAACUGAGGAAUGCCUCAAUGACUGCGGUGCCUUGUUCUCCUGGCUCAUAGCCUAUUCUUGGCAGGGUAGCUUGGGUAGACACUUUGCCCUUUAAAAACUCUUUUAGGGAGGGGGAGUUGCCAGGAGCAGCCGAGGCCUGAAUCCCUGGAAACUGCUUAGUGGCCUGGCAUCCUGCCCACCUGCCUGCCAGCUUUGGGGAGGUCAUCUAAUCUUGUUAGUUCCCCUCCCAGAGCGGGUGAACUGUCUUAUGCAAAUCCUGCUCCAGCUGCCUUCAGGGUCCUGGUGCUCCCGAUUAUGUCUUUAAAUAAAUAAAGGUCUCCCACCCUCGGAAUGGACCCC
rnacentral:lncRNA from 1 species